CCGCCUCCCUGGCCGCCCGCCCAUGGCCCAUCCCCUCCCCCAGUUUCUUCCUCACCACGAGCAUCAGCCCCCACCGCCCCCUCCUCCAUUCCCCACUAGCUCCACUCUGCCCACUUCUUCUCUGCCAGUCUUCUCCAUGGAUGGAACAGAGAGAGGCAAGGGGAAGCAAUGCGCCAUGGACGAGGAGACAGAGCUCGAUGUGGAGGAGCAAGUGGGGAAGCUAAUCUGCUUCCAUCCCUGUCCUCUCCGCCGGCAGCCGCGGCCAACGGCCGGCCUGGCUCUGCCCCACCCAUCGACGCCUCGUCGUGUAUGGUGACCGAAAGAUGGCAUCUCUUUAUAAUUUGUGCCUACAAGGUGUUCGGUGAAAAAGCAAUAUGGUUGCACAGAAGGAUUAAUCCAUGUUAUGUGGCCAGCCUCAGAUCGGCUAGAUUGUGCCAAUGGAUGAGGUGCUAUCGUGGGCAUCCGCAUGAGCAUUGUGCAACAUAUCUGUAAGUAAAGGUUGCUUCUGCAAUUAAGAGCUACAUGGCUAUGGCCCGAAGUGAAGGUUCACUUUUGUGUGAAUAGUCUUCUGUACUCCGUCACCAUGGCAGGAGGAGCACAAGGCGGUUUCCCUCGCAUCGGCAAGGUUGUGUGUGCGCUUGAUCGGAGGUCUCUCUCUGUCUCUCUCACGCACUAGGAAGUUCAUUGAUGUUUGUUUUAUCUAUUGAACAAAUAUAUUCCCAGUUAACCCAUCGAUUAUAUGAAGCUUUAUUUUCUGAAUUAUUGCUAGUGCAGAUACUGGAGAAUGACACCUUCCAAUAUGUUCUAUUUGCGAACUACAUAGAGGGCACAAAGGUGGGGUGUCACUGUAUACCGUCACCGAAUGAGAAGGGAUAACCAAAUCACCAAAGUCACUCCAAUGCCGCUGCUAGCUACUGCUUCCCUGAGCAGCAAGCUCAUAUUUCCUAUAUUGUUUCUGAAAUGCACGGUCUCUCUACUAAUGGCAUGAUGUUUUCUAUCUUCAUGUGGCUAGCACCUUUCUCAAACAAUUAUUUAAUUGUAAAGGUAAACAAUAUUAUAUGCAUUCUUAUUGUGUACUACUGUUUUUCUAAUUAAUGAACUGAUCGGCAAUACAUAUUUUGGAUUUUAUGUGAUAAAUCUCACAACAAUCAUAAACUGCGUCCAGUGGACAAAAUGCAUGGCACUGCUAUUUUAUACGGCUAUUCGGUUUUCCUGAAUUUUUUCAUAACCAAGGGUCAACAUAGACAUAAGAGUUCAUCAUAUUUCCAUGUUAUAGACAUAACAAAGUUCAUCUUCAGCAUUAUUUUGGUACUGACAUGCUGAAGAGUAUACCAUAGUUUGAUUAAAUGAAUUUUCGCUGAAGAAAUAAGAACACUGUAAAUGAAUGUUUGUCAAAGAAAAAAAACAGUGAGUAAAUGAAUAUUUCCCUGCAAAGAAAUUAAUGAAUGUUUUAGGACCUAACAUGCCUGAUAAGUUUGUCUUGCAGCCUGAUUGAAGCAAUCAGGCUUUGGAUGUCACUAGGGAGAUAGACAAACAGAUAGGGAGUUUCUUAUUCGCCCCUUAAGAUUGAUAGCUGCUUCGUCAACAUUGUCUGCUUUGGGACUUCAACAUUUCUUAACAAAUAGGAAUUUCUAUCUACCUCUCAAACAUAGACCUUAUACAUACCCCCUGCCAACAGACUCAAUUCUUAUUGCCACUCCUAACCAGAUAACUAAGUCUGAAUGGAUACAAUGUAUAAUUUAGUGUUGACCCUAAACAAUGGCAGCUGCACUUCUAAUAUUGACACUUUUAGCCUGCUCAUACACAUUUUUGUAAUCGGGUAAAUCAACUGACAUAGUAAGAAAACAUAAAUUAUAGACAGGGCAUGACUCCCUUUUGUUCCUGAUCAUCAAACCUGCAUACCCAGAGCGACUAGAUGAAAUAAGCUACCAGUUAGACUCACUUCAUUGCUACACACAAGGAUAUAUGUCAGUUAUUUCAUAUGGACCUCCUGCCUGAUUUUUUUAUGCAUGUGCGAAUGCAUUUGGCAGUCUCACUAGCCUCAACCUAGAGAAUUUGAGAUUUGGUGAAUCAGACAUAUCCAACUUUCUCAUCACUUGCAAGCUGUUGAAGGAUCUACAUUUGUUCAAUUGUGACUGAUAAUCCCAGCACAUUGCAAAUUUGGGUGGAGCCAGAAUGUCCAAUGGAAAUUCUUGCAUCCUUCCGCCAACUAUAAGGUGCACUUCAGGAGCGUGUGUCAUGCACGACGCCAUUAGAUCAUCUGCAGCUUCCAAACUCGACAUUACAAAAGACCAGCGUUCCGAUUGCUGAGAACCUGGCGGUGUUCCGAGCAAUCAAGUACAUGCAAUAUUUGCAAAAAAACACUAAAGGGAUGUCAGCUUUUGGUGAUGCAAUAGCAGCUAUUAGGUGUUCAUUUUCUGUUCGGGUGUCGUGUCCUCUAAAUACAAUGUCCUUUCUUGAUUGUCCUACAUAUGAAGUAGGUUCCUGUUGCAAACAAUCCCUGUGCAACUUAUGUAGAUGUUAUUUUUGUCAUCAUUCUUGCUCGGUUGUUUCUAUAUUUUCUUUUCGAACACUUGAGUGCUCGGUGGCAUCUAUAUUUCCUUUUCGAAUCACCAACUGCAGUGUGCUUUAAA